rnacentral:rRNA from 1 species
GAAAUUGAUUAAUUUAUUUAGGUUUAAAGUUUUAAAUAUACUAAUAAAAGUAGUUUAAUUUUUAUUAUUUAUUUUUAAAAAAUUUGUUUUAUAAUAGAUUAUAGUAUUGAGAAAGAAUUUUUUUAAAUAGUUUAAAGAAAAAUUUAAUAUUUGUACCUUGUGUAUCAGGGUUGAUUUAAAAAUAUUAUUAAAUUAUAUAUUCUCGAAUUUAAAAGAGCUAAUUAAUUAUAAAUUUUAUUGUUAAAUAAAUAUUUAUAAUAUUUAAUUAGAAAUGAAACGUUAUUCGUUUUUAAAUAUAUCUAGUUUUUAAAGAAAUAAAUUUAAUUUAUUUAUUAAUAAUUAAAAUAUUUAAUAUUUAAUAUUUUAUUUAUUAAUAUUAAAAUUUUUUAGGGAAAAGCUUAAAAAGGGAGGUUUAUAAUAAAUUAUUGGUAUUUAAUAAAUUAUAGGAUUAAAAAUUUCUAUAAAUAUAAAAUUGUUAUAAUUAAUUAUUUAUUUUAUUAAUAUUUAUAUUUUAUUUAAAUUUUAUAUUUAAAUUUAAAUUUUAAUAUUUUUUUAUUUGGAAAUAAUGAUUGAAUUAGUAUAAUAAUUAGUUUAUAAUUAAAUUUUAUUUUAAGGUCAAUUUAAGGAACUCGGCAAAUAAAUUUUUCACCUGUUUAAUAAAAACAUGUCUUUUUGAUUAUAAUUUAAAGUCUAAUCUGCCCCCUGAGGAUUUAAAUGGCCGCGGUAUUUUGACCGUGCAAAGGUAGCAUAAUCAUUAGUUUCUUAAUUAGAAGCUGGAAUGAAUGAUUGGAUGAGAAAAUUUCUGUCUCAAAUUAAUUUAUUUAUAAUUUUAUUUUUAAGUUAAAAAGCUUAAAUAUAUUUAAAAGACGAGAAGACCCUAUAGAGUUUUAUUUUUAUUAUUAAGUAUUUAAAUAUUGAUUAUAAAUUAAAUUUUUUGAUAAAAAUUUUGU